CCCGCGCGCGCCGCGGACCGAGGAGGCGCCGGUGCCGGUGCCGGGAGCGGGGCCGGUGCCCUUGGGUUUCGGCGCCCUUGGGUCUCGGCCGGCCGGGUCGCCCCUGCGUCCUGAGGCGCGGCACAGCGCAGCGCAGCGCGGCGCCGGAGCCGGCAGGUGAUUUUACCCAGUGCUGAUGCGCCCAGGAGUGUGUGUGUUCAGGUGUCUUUCCAGGCAUCUCCUCUGUUCUUUUCAAUAGAAGAGAUGUUUGAAAGUAUAUCUCAAUUUUGUCCUGUUAUUUUUGCCCUAGUGGAGAUGGCUAACGUGAGAGAAGAGGAUGAGAAUUUUUUUUCUCCAAAAGACACACACAUAAAUAAAUUGGGACAGUCAUUGAGUAUGUUUUGGUUUUCUCAUUUGUUACAUGGAUUCUCAAAACAUAUUCUAAGGUUUAAUACCUUAAAUUGUAGGCAAUGGGAGGGUAACAUCUGUACCCUCGAGUUCAGUGUGUUUCAAAGGAAGCUUAUACACUCCUUGCAAGUGUAGGGAAGGGAGUCGUGGAGGAGUUAACGGUGUGUCCAGACUCGUUCAGCAAAGGGUGACAAGGCAGGAAUGGACUUCUGCAUGGUGGCUUAGGCUGAUGAGGCAACCAUUAGAAAGUUGCCUUCUGGGUGGGUUAAUGUUUGGAGAAUACUUUAAAACACAGUAUUACUUUCUGGAGACAGAACGUGAAGCACUGUGGAUGACACUGCAAUUUUUUUUUUCCCCCUCUUUAAUUAUCUUCCACAAUCUGGAGACUCCAGAGAUCCCCAUUAACUGUCUCUGGGAGGCCAUAUUAGAGUGAUGAUUAAUUAAUCCCAGGGAGAAGCAGUCAUCUGUGCUAAUGAGCUAGAUCUUCAUAUUCCAACCUGCCUGCCAUCCUGACUGAGCCACAGGCCACCACAGAAAAUCCAGGGGUCCUCACUGCUUGUAUAACUUGCUUGAUUCCAUUGUGUUUCCCAGAGAGCAAUCUGCUUUUUCUUCACUAUCAGGAUAAAUUGCUUGGGUUUUAGAAUUGUUCAGUAGCCACAGAAAUGCCCAAAAAUAAGGGGCAGACACAGGAGUUGAGGCUCUCUGAGUGAUGGGUGGGAGGAGAAAGGGGAAAGGCUGAAAGACUGGAGAGUAAGGAGAUAAGAAAAGGAGACACCCGUUCCUUGGCAUUCAACUGAGGGUAGCACCUUCUGGUGCAAAAUUUACCCACAAAGAACAAAGCUGAGAUAACCAGUGCUCACAGAUGUUUUUAGCAAGGCAGUGGCUUCUGUUCUCUGUCAUGUGGGUUGCCUUUGAACCAAGGACUGAAAGUGUACCUUUGUGUGAAUAGAUUUUACUCCACGGGUUGAAAUCCAAAAUUAUUUAAGCUGAAAAGAAGAAAAUCUUAUUAACUGAAGUAAAUUUUAAUCUUCUACGCUUGUACUUUCUUAUUCACAAAGGAAUGUUGAUUUCCUUUUAUUGGUAGCAUUAAAACAUGUGGCUCUGUCACUACAUCCAGCCAUAGUGGUAAAUUCAGUAAGCAGAAGGCUCUUUUUACAUAUUUAUCUUAUGCAUUUAAUGGUCAGAGUGGUAAUUUUUGUGUUAGGAAAUAGUGUCUGAUUAGACAGCUGGUUUUUUUAUUUGCUUUUUUCCGUAUGUGUCAGCUUGCCUUUGGAAGAAAAUAAAGCUGCACUUAAAGACAGAGUCUUAAUUUUCAUUUUUUGCACUUAAAAGCCACCUGAAUUUACUUUUUCCUUAUCUAUCACUUAAAACACUAACCAUUUAAAAAUCAAAAUGACACAUUUGGAAGAAAUAAUUCAUCAGUAGUUUGUUUUUUGUUGUUGUUGUUUUGUUUUUUUUUUCCAGUUGUCAGCUCCUUCAGAGUUGUGGGAUUAGCACAUAUAAUUCUUCAACAUCUACUUUUUUAUUUCUAGAUUGAAGAGGAAAAACUAGAUUUCCUGUUUUUACAGCUCCCAGAUUGUGUCUUGGCUUUGAAUUAACUAGUUCAAUUUGUUGAGAUAAAUAGGAAGCUCUGCAUUUUCAGAAAAAGCUACUUUUGUCAAAAGCUGAUUUUGUGCUUUGCCAGCCUUUGGCUCAGCCAUUCAGCUGAUGACAUCUGCCAGUCCAGUAUACUGCCAUGCUUUAAAAAUCCUGGCAGUGAUACAUACUGCCUUAAUAAUUCCUUAUAGCCUGCUGUCCUUCAGGGUGUCUGUGCCCUCCCAUAGCUCAUAAUCCAUGUUGGCAAGGGGGAAGGUCUCAAAGAUGUUAAAUACCAACCUGAUGUGAGAAAACAGGUGGCUCCAAACAGCAGAGAACCCACCCUGGGUUCCAGACCCCAGGAGAGGUAUCCCUGGAGCCAGCAGUCUCAUAAGAAGGUGAAGACCAGAGGAGAUUUAAUGAAAAGCGUCUCAGUGCCAGAAAUAAAACACUAAGUUCAAAGAUUACUUGUGACAGAGAUUUUCUGCUAGUUAGCCUUCAGAGAAAAUCAGGCCUGCACUCCAGCAGCCUCUGCUUUCCCAGAACCCACUCUCACUCAUAUCCUUCUCCUGCGAUUCCAAAUUGCAAAAGUGUAACAACAUUUCUCAACCCCCGUGCCUAUUACAAGAAAUGCCUGGAUUGAGCCAAAACCAAAUGAAAACUGAUGUGAGAUUGUUUCCUCACCUCUCUGGACCUUUCUGUGGGACUGCACAAAAGGCCUCUUCAGAAAUCCAUGCUACUUUCACCUCCUGUCUCUACUGUUUCUCCUGUGGCUGUUUUUCCUUUCAUCAUCUCUCACCAGCAAGUGAGAGCCUUUCUGUUUCAUGGCUUCUGGUUUCCAUGUCAGAACACCUCCUGGCCAGCCCCAGCUGACUGGUUCAGGCUCUCUGGUGUAUUCAUCUUUUUAGGGAAUUCCCCACUAGAAAGGUACUUUACUCUGAGGUAUCUUGGGGGACUUCAGUCUAGUUAGAUCUUGAUCAGGAUUUUAAAAUUUUUCAUCAUUAUCCCUAGGAGUUUCAUUCCAGUGAUUAAAAAAAAAAUACAUGAUAUACCAAAGACAGACACCCCACUUAAAGCAGAGUUCAUAGUGAUGCAAGACGUAGAAUAUCAUUAUCAAACAGUUUGAAAUUGUUAUGUAGACAGUUUUUCUAAAUAUUCACACACCCCUCUAAUACCAUACUAAUGAUCCUGAAGCAUUCACUUGUCUGCAGUUGAAAGUGCUGCAUUUUUAAUACUCUGGCAUCAUGGAUCUGUAUCUGCACUUGUAUCCAAUUGAGAGCUCCUUGAGUCAACUAAUUCCUGCUGCUGGAGAUAUUAUCUAAAUAUCUUAGAUUAUAUUUACUGUGCAAUGUAUUAAGCAAUCCCAAAUCAUUCCUAGGGGAAUCUUCAGUUCUGUGUGUGCAUUUUGGCUCUUCAGCAACUCCUAGGCUGUAGCUGGGUGUAACUCAGAGAAAGCUCUUAUCUGAAGCCCCCAAAUAUCUUGCCUAAAUAAAAACCACAGGAUGUAAUUUGGUGUCAGUAUUUUUCAGAUAAUCCUUUCCAGACUGGAUUUACAAUUGACUCUGUUUUCCAUUGAGCUGCAUGGCUGCAACUUCCUGAUCUCUAGUUGUAGGUAUUUUGCAUUUGUAAAUGCAAAAUAAAGUAAAGCAGUGAGGUGCUUGAUCUUGCCAGCACAGAGCAGGGCAGGAAAGGAGAGGAGACGGCGAUGAUCAGGGAUCUUCUGAGUAGGAAGGGAAGGAAAAAGAGCCUGAGGUGCCAACACAAGGUCCCCAUGCCUUCCCCUGAGGAGCAGAGGGUGCUCCAUUAGCAAACACCCAUAAGGUUUUUAGUUGCACAAGUCAUCUUACUGUGUUAUCCCCUCUGCUCUGGUGCUCAAUUCUGUCGUCUGCUUUCAGCAAUCCAGCUUGAGGUCUUUUGCUCAGAUGCAAAGCCUGGUCAUUUUUCUUGUCUCUUUUGCCAAGAAACAAAAGUGUUUUGAAGCUUGUGGAUUAAGCAGGGAGGGAAAGAUGGGUGUGAUCUAUGAGCUUUGCUGUUUGCUUUCUCCUGCCUUUCUGGGCUGGCAUAGGCAGAGGUUUUUUUGUGCCUCUUGCUGCUGUUGUACAGACACUUAAUGCAGCCUCCCAAUGGGCCACUGCCAUGAAGGGUAGUUGUUCUCCCCUUCUUUAGACAUUCUUUCCUCUAGGGGUAGCUGAAUGGUGAACCUGGUAUGGUGAAUCUUACCUGAAAAUAACAUUUUAUUUAAAAAUGCAAAAGGGUUAUUUUCAGUGAGGUAAAUCCCCCUGUCACACUCAUCACAAGCUGCACAGAUGCUAGUAGUGAUAGGGAGGGGCUGUUCUUGCCUUUCCUUUCUAACAUGUCAUUCAUCACAGCUUUGAGUAUUUGCAAAAUUCAAGUGACUGUAAUCUAGUUUGAGCUAUCUCACCAUGAAAUGGAAACAGAUGUUGUCAUGCUUCAGCAGGGUAUGGUGAAAAUGCACAUGUGAAAGAUCACGUGGAGUCAUUUAGGUAUUUAAACAUCUAAAGCUGUUGAGGGAGCUCUACCAUUUCGUCUUAUCCCACCACAAGGUCUGAAUUAAAUGUCCUUUCUUACAUAGGUCUUGUCAUGUUUUUGUAGGGUCUGGGGCUGCACAUCGUGCAUUAAAUCACUGCAUUUUGUCAUAACAUGAUUGACUGGUGACAGACAAAUAUGUCCUGAACAGCUGGAUGCAUCUGAUACCACCUAUUUUUUCAUGUGUACAUUCUGCCAGCAGAUAACCCCUUUAAAAGUACUAGGGAUUGGAAAUAAUCCUUCAGGUAGCAUGCAUCCUCAGAAACACAAAAAUGCACAUGUAAAAAAUUGGAAGUGGAUUUGGGUGGAGGAGGAACUGGGGAUGGGGAGGCUAUGGAGUAAAAGGAGCAGGCAAAGGAGGAUCCGUGAUUGGUGAGCUCUCUCUCAAGGUAGGUCUCUGGGGUAAAUUUUCCCUUACCUGUUCCCUAUUCUGAGCAAGUUACAGUGCUUCUAAAGCACAGGUUGUUUUUUUCAUUUCUGCAGAUAACCCCUGCAUGAUGUGAGUGAAGACACAGUGCCAGUUCUUCUCAUGUGUUGUACAUUUUAUGUGACUAUAAAAAUAAAAACUGAUAUUCCUCA